UGACAGGUACUGCAUGGCUGUCGUCAGUUCGUGUCGUAAGAUGUUGGGUUAAGUCCCGUAACGAACGCAACCCCUGUCUUUAGUUGCCAGCAUUAAGUUGGGGACUCUAGAGAGACUGCCAAGGUGACAACUUGGAGGAAGGUGGGGAUGACGUCAAGUCCAUAUGGUCCUUACAUCCAGGGCGAGAAACGUGCUACAAUGGUUGGUACAAUGGGGAGCAAAAUCGCAAGAUUGAGCAAAUCCUCAAAACUAAUCUCAGUUCGGAUUGGAGUCUGCAACCCGACUCCAUGAAGUUGGAAUCGCUAGUAAUCGCGGAUCAGCAUGCCGCGGCGAAUACGUAUCCGGGUCUUGUACACACCGCCCGUCAAGUCAACCGAGUUAUUUUUACCCGAAGUUGGUGAGCGAAUUCUCACGAAUAGCAGCUUGCGAAGGUAAGAAUGGCAAGGGGGACUAAGUCGUAACAAGGUAACC
rnacentral:rRNA from 1 species